GCCGGGGUGGCGAAACAGGCAGACGCGGGGGACUUAAAAUCCUCUGGGGCCUCGGCCCCGUCCGAGUUCGAGUCUCGGCCCCGGCA
rnacentral:tRNA from 1 species